GAAGUAAGGCCCAGGAAGAAAAACUUGAGGACCACUCGGCGUUGUACUGGCGACAACGCCUCCUCCCGUCGCUUCUCCCAGACGUUUUCUGCCCCCUACUGGGGGAGGAGCUACGAUGUAUGCACCGGCACCACGCAAGGAGCACGCGAGGAAGGAGGUCAGUGGCCCCGGCGUCGCAGCUACACCGCGUCCCAGUGCUGCCUCGCGUGCCAGCCAUCGCUCAGGCAGUUGUUGGCAACGGCGACUUUGGUGAUGCGCAUCAGCUGCUCGAUGCAUUGCCUGCAAGGUUUGUGGUCAGUCCUCUCUUCUCUUUCUUCUCAUUUCUCAAACUGCUAACCACCAGCAACAAGUCAGCUAUUUUCUCUGAUCUUUCUCCAACGCCAAGCACCAGGACCAGCCCCUAUUCCUCUCCAUCUCCCUUGCAGGCAUCAGCGAUUCAGCGUCCAGGCCACCACCAUACACCAGCACUGCCUCCAACAUCUCCCCUGUCUGCAGAUCCAUCGUGUUCUUUUUUUUGUUUAUUGUGCUUGCUGAUGUGGUUUCAUUUCAUUUCCAUCUUUUCUCCUUAGCAUGGACAUCAGUGCACCGUGCUUAUUGCACUUGGCCUUGACUGGCAGGUCUGCCACCUGGUUUAUGAUGCAUCCGGCCAUGGGAAGCUUGUGCUGCAGCCUGCAGGUGGCUUUGAUGGCCACCACUUUGCAGUGUCCUCGCAACGCUUUUCCUAUUGAUUUGGCUUUGAUACCCCCUGUUGAUUUGGCUUGGUUUAAUGAUGUAUCUGCUACCGCUCUGGUUCAUCCAUGGGUUCUAUUUAAAAUAAGAAGAAAGUUUUCUCCGCAACAGCAGUGAAGUGAUUGCAGGAAUUGCAGAGUCCACCUCAAGACCUUUGUUGCAGUCCAACCAGGUCAUGGCACUUGAGGUGGAGGAACUAAUGCGAAAAUGCUGAUGAUUGCUUAUCUCUGCUUCUGUAUGCCAAUCUAAAUUCUGAAUCUGAUUAGUAAAGUACACUUCUGCUCUUUUUGUCUUUAUUUCUCAAGGGAUAGUGACAGCCUCUCAAGGUAUGCAUCCAACUUACUGUGAAUCUUCUGAUUUGGUACCACAGAAAAAGCAAAUGAAAAAUACUAUAGAAACCUGGAAAUUGCAACAGGCCAACAACAACCAAGAAAAUGUCAUAUUUCUGUAAUGUGUACUGAAUAUGUAGUGGAUGUUCACAAUGAUUUCAGGUCGACUGGUCGAAGCUGGUCGCUCUAGGACCGACCAGGCGAUUAAUCGUCGACCAAGGCGAUUAAUCGCCCUGGUCGACCCUGGUCGUCCACCUGGUCGUCCAGCUAUUUCAGGGCAUAUAUGCCUAUAUAUAUACCUCUAUAUAUACUAUAUAAUAUACACAAUCAAGCUAGCAUCAAGACUACAUUAGUGUUUAGAUAGUGAAUUACUUGUGGGAGUUGGUUUCUUCUCUUUUCUGCACUGUCCAGAGGUCCAUAUUGCUGUCCCAAACUCCCCCUGCAGCCCCUCUAUUCUAUCUAAACCCUAACAGGCCAAAAACUUAAAGCCCAUUAGCCCAGUCCCAGUUAGAAAAGGCACAAAAAAACAGAAGUCUGGUCGUCCAUCUUACCUGGUCGUCCGAUUAAUCGCGAUUAAUCGAUGAUUAAUCGGACGACCAGCUUUCUUGUCGAACUAAUCGAGUCGGACCUCCUAAUCGAAUCCUAGGAGCGACCUGGACGAUUAAUCACGAUUAAUCGGACGACCUGAAAUCAUUGGAUGUUCAACUAUAUAAUUAUUCUCACAUUAUAAUCAUUUAAUCUAGGGUACUAGCCUAAUAUUAAAUGCUGCCACUUCUGUCCUGCCUCCUUUUCUUCUCUGCACAAUGUUUGGUACUUUCAUGCCCAUAGUAACCAGUUAUGAUUGCCGACAAUGUUUGGCUUUAAUGUUUUCAUUUUUACCUUCCAUAAACCUGUGGUACACUUAUCUAUAGUAACUAGCUUAGAUUUAAAAGAAAUGUGCAUGAAAUCUACCAACUGAAGCACUCUGGUGUAUGGUGUAAUUCUGGGAUAUGACUUUUAUCUCCAUAUAUAUAUACAUAAGAUGCAGCACCAAUUUCACAAUUGGAGAGUAUGCACAUAAUUGUUUGUAAUACAAGGCAACAGCUUCUGGUUCAGGUGAAGAAUAAGAGUAGUUCGGUCAUUGGUGUAUGGAGUAGCUUCUCGUUCACGUUUGAGCACUUUUAAUUUAUUCAUACAAUCUCUACAAGUACAGUAGGGCUCCCAUAGGAUCUAGAACUGUGUACAUAUCACAUAUACAAUUUGGCAGGCUUAAUUUAUUUUCCUAAUCCACAUACAUUUUCCUUGUUUCAGAAAAUACCUACCCCAUGUCAUUUUCCAAUGCAUUUGAUUUGGUUGACAGAUCUGAUUUACAAAUGAUUCAAGUUCAUUCCUAACAACGCCUGUCCCUAUCUCAAAAUAAUCAUUGUUUUGCAGUAAAUAUUUCCUUCAAGCUGCUGCUGUUAGUGGUGGCUUUGUUAUCGAGGAUAUGUAUUAGAAAUGACUACAAUUGUAUAUUUUUGUUCACUGAAAGAAUAGUAUAUUUUGAAAAUAGUGAACUAUUAAGGGAAAAAAAUAAGAACAUGCAUUGCAUGUAUUUCAUUAAGAGAAUGGUGAGUACAACCGAACAUCCAAAGUGUUAAAAGUACAGACACCAAUUAAACUCUAGGCCAAACAAACAAUGGUAAUAUACACAAACAAGAGAAGAAAAGAGCACAGGAGCUUGCCCAAGCUCUAACCUAGCAAGAAGACACACAACAAAACAAAGGGGUAAAGCAAAACUAGUUAUCUGGAAGUAGCAAUCCAACCGACAGUUUGCAGCCUCCACCUUGAUCUUUUCCACUGGUUCUAGAGGUCAGCAGCCUUCACUGUGGAUGAGCCUCGCAUUCCUCUCUGUCUAGGUUGACCAAUUGGUGAGCAGUAAAAUGCAGUAUAAUCUUGCCAUCACAAACAAAAUGUAACCCAGUAAAAACAGAAUGCUUUUGCACUGUUAAGUUAUUGCAUACAUAGUCAAAUUACUAUCUUCAUUGCAUACAUAGUCAAAUCACUCUCUUGGCUGUUACUAUUUGCACUCUUGGUAGCAGUAAAAAACAGAACGCUUUCUUCACUAUUAAGUAGGAGAGAUUUGUUGAGAGCAACAGUGUAACCGAAUUUCAUUCAGUUAGCAUUAGUUUAUGAACGCCUCUACAAUUUCAUUCAGUUAGUCUUACUCGGAUCAUGGACGAGUACUUUUAAUCCUCUGCGUAUAAGUGGAAGUAAUCCGAAGAGGAUUAGCAAAGAGUUCUGCAACCCCCAUCCAUUGCUCUGUUGAAGACUUGCAGCACACUUCUGAAAUUUUAUCUGCAAUGAAGGACUUUCCAUGCACUUACUUACCUUGGCCUCCCCCUUACUGUUCCAAAGCUGAUUUGUUACCUCUGAUUGAUAAGGAUGCAGAUCACCUCUCAGGAUGGAAAGCUUCUAUAAUGAAUAAAGCUGGGAGCCCUAUUUAUGGUCCAGAAUGGUGCUGACAGCCACCCCAUUUAUCUUAUGAUUGCUCUUGAUCUUCCAAAAUAGGUUGUCAAGGCCAUCGACAAAAAUGCAGAGUCUCUAGUGGGGCCAAGAACAAGCCAAUGGAGGUAAUUGUCUGGUGACCUGGGACUGGGAAAGGGUGUAGCAUCCACUUGAAUUCAGUGGCCUUGUUACUAAUAAUCUUAAAAUAAUGGGAUGGGCCUUAAGCAUCCGUUGACUGUGGGCACAAAAGACAGAUCCUUUACAACCAUGGGCUGGACUGUCAAUCCGCGUACUGCAGAAUGCUCUAGCUCUCUUUAAUGUGUCUGUGGACUAUAUAAUUGGUAAUGGUGAACAAAUUCGGUUGUGGGCUGAUCGUUGAUUGCAGGGAAAGACAGUGGCAGAAUUGGCCCCUAACUUGCACAAGAUGAUCUCCAAAAAGGCUGUAUAGACAAGACUGUACCUCAGGCAGUUUACAAUCGUGCUGCCUGGGUGGCUCAUAUCAAGAGAGCUCUAACAGUACAGGUGCUAGUUGAGUAUUUAGUGGAUGGCAUGUCUCUGCAACCAGAUAUUUGACCAGUACUGUUGGAAAGCUCUCCCAUGAUUCAGCCUUUUUUUCCCCCCAAGGAUCUAUCAAUUUUGGUCCCUGGAAAAGAAUUUAAAAAGCUGCGUCCCUUUAAAAUGCAAGACGAAGACAAUGAGCAGGAGAUGCAGAAGGUGGGAGGGCUGCCCAAUAUAAGAAGAACCUGGAGCACAGGAUGACCUGACAUAUAGAAGUGCUUUCAUCUUUCCCAUUGAGUGAUCCUACUAUCAGCAAUUUGAUUGCUGAUCAUCAACUGUUAUGUUGUCAGUUAUGGACAUCUUAUGUUUAGAAUUUUGAUCAUUUAUCUUAUCUCAUGGUUACUUUUGUUUUCCAUUUACAGUACCUGUCCCAAGGCACUGACCCUAAGACCCAUACGCACAAGUUCUUGCAUGUUUGUGACUUCCAACUUCACUUAAUAAAAUAAACUUUACUUA